AUAAGCGGAGGAAAAGAAACCAACAGGGAUUGCCUCAGUAACGGCGAGUGAAGCGGCAACAGCUCAAAUUUGAAAUCUGGCUCUUUCAGGGUCCGAGUUGUAAUUUGUAGAAGAUGCUUUGAGUGUAGCUCCGGUCUAAGUUCCUUGGAACAGGACGUCAUAGAGGGUGAGAAUCCCGUACGUGACUGGGUGCUUUCGCUCGUGUAAAGCUCUUUCAACGAGUCGAGUUGUUUGGGAAUGCAGCUCAAAAUGGGUGGUAAAUUUCAUCUAAAGCUAAAUAUUGGCCAGAGACCGAUAGCGCACAAGUAGAGUGAUCGAAAGAUGAAAAGCACUUUGGAAAGAGAGUUAAACAGUACGUGAAAUUGUUGAAAGGGAAGCGCUUGCAACCAGACUUGCAUGCUGUUGAUCAUCCGAGAUUUUUCCCGGUGCACUCGGCAGUAUUCAGGCCAGCAUCGGUUUUGGUGGGCGGAUAAAGGCCUUGGGAAUGUAGCUUCUUUCGGGGAGUGUUAUAGCCCUCGGUGCAAUGCGCCCUACUGGGACCGAGGACCGCGCUUCGGCUAGGAUGCUGGCGUAAUGGUUGUAAGCGACCCGUCUUGAAA
rnacentral:rRNA from 1 species